rnacentral:rRNA from 1 species
GACGAACGCGGCGGCGUGCCUAAUACAUGCAAGUCGAGCGGAUCUUGUCCUUCGGGAUAAGGUUAGCGGCGGACGGGUGAGUAACACGUAGGCAACCUGCCCUCGAGACUGGGAUAACCUCCGGAAACGGAUGCUAAUACCAGAUACGCGAUCUUCCCACCUGGGGAGAUCGGGAAAGACGGAGCAAUCUGUUACUCGGGGAUGGGCCUGCGGCGCAUUAGCUAGUUGGUGAGGUAACGGCUCACCAAGGCGACGAUGCGUAGCCGACCUGAGAGGGUGAUCGGCCACACUGGGACUGAGACACGGCCCAGACUCCUACGGGAGGCAGCAGUAGGGAAUCUUCCGCAAUGGACGAAAGUCUGACGGAGCAACGCCGCGUGAGUGAGGAAGGCCUUCGGGUCGUAAAGCUCUGUUGCCAGGGAAGAACGCUUGGGAGAGUAACUGCUCUCAAGUGACGGUACCUGAGAAGAAA